GUUUUAAUUUAUCGAUAAAUUAAUAUUUAUUAAUUUAUAGAGAGAUUUUCCUAAUUUAGUAAUU
rnacentral:sRNA from 1 species